UGGGAAUAUUCAUGAUAUAUUUUAUCAUAUACAUUACUCAAUCCUUUAUUUUAUUCAUCUAUAGGAAGAUGUAACAGACGAGAGAAUAUGUGAGGUUGUGCAGCCAACACCAACAGUUAUCAUUCGUGGCACCUCUCUUAUCAAUGCUAGCAAGCUACAUGUGAUAUUGGAAAAGUCUGUAUAUAUUGAAUGUGCAGAUUUCUUCGAUGCAGUGACAUGCGCCUUUGGAUCUUAUUACGUUUUCAAUAUGCAAUACCCGAAGGAGGCAAAGAAAACGUACGAGUUUGUACAACGAUACUUCGCAGGAAUUGGUGACAAUGCCCCCCGCUCAAAAAAGAAGACUGAUGAAAAUAGACUACACCCAAAAGUUCAGGCCCUACUGGAAAAAUUUCAAUAAUUCAAUAUACCAUCAACAAUGAAAACUUCCACAAACUUUAUACAAAGAAACUUGCACUGCUUUGGACAGAUUACACUUUUUCACUGUUUAAAUUAUAUUUCAGAUGAUAAUGUGACUUAUCCAUUUGACAUAUAAAAAUUUGGAAUUUUCUCAUUUUAAGGUUUUAGCUGUUUUUAUGAAAUUUAGUUUUUUUUUCCACUCAUUCUAUUCCUCAGUGUUUCUAUUUUAUGGUUUAUCACUGUUUUUUUUAUACAAUUUUUUUCUUCAGGGUUUAUUACUGUUUUCACCAUUUCUUUCUUCAUGGUUUAUCACUGUUGUACAAUUUCUUUCCGUUUCAUUCGCAUAGUUUCCAAUUUCAUUUUAUUUGUAAAUAAAUUCGGUUUCUUAUAAUA